AAUUCAUUUUGCACGCGCUCUUAUUUUGAAUAAUGCUGCAUGGCACCUUAGUUUGAAAAUCAUCUAUGUAACAGAACUACUGAGAUGUUGAUCCCAAAAUCCAAGAAAUAAAUCUGCCGGAUUAAUAAUGCCAACAAGGAAAUCGGCCUCACUCACGCUCAGAUCGCAGCCCGGAACAGAUCUAGGCAUCCAAAACCCAGUUCGGCCACACACCUGGCCACCCUCCCCACGCACGGGGUUGUGUGCCCUCACGUGGCCCUUGGAGUUAUCUGCGCCCUUCGUCCCUCUAUCACGAAGCAAUAUCCCAGGAGAAAGGAUAGCGUCUCAGUUUGUGUCUGACGAUGAUGUGAUACCAUAAGAUCUUCCGAGGCCUGAAACAGGUAUUUCUUCAUCUGAACAAACAUCUAGAAAGUGAGGGCAACUUUUAAAGCUCAUGCAAUGAACUCGGCGUAGUACAAAUGCAAAUUGCAGCGUAGUCCUUUCAACAUUGCUGUCCUCCAUCCCACCUCGCCUUCCCAAUCCCUUGGUGAGGAUCUUUGCCUGUCUAAGGAUUAAUGCUAAACAAGACCAUAACUCAAAUUUUGUGCUCAACGACGGAAGUACUCUAAGGAACACAGUCACUUUGAUGUUAUGAACUUUGAUGUGAGCUCAUCUUCCCUCGGGGGAAACUCAUUCGGCAAGGAUGAGGUCCCUCUAGUGUGGCGCAUUCAGCUCGCAAUCCCACAGUCAUUCCCACUACUGUUAAAGGAAGCUGCGACACAAAGCCAAGUCAGAAUCAUUCACCAGAAGCCGACGGUAACAUCAAUCCUCAUAUCUUUAUUCCACUUGAUGAAGGCAGCAGCAAACCGCGUAUUCAAUAUUGCUACACACGUAUUCGUUACGGGGUUGGUCAAGUGAAACUUCAGCAGGAAUCCACUAGUUGUCUGCGUCGAAAAGAUGGUACGCCCAAUGGCAGGUAAUAUGUUGCAGGAAAAUAAGGUGCGAAAAUAAAUGAGAAGUACCAGGCUCUCAUGGUGAAACUGGAAGAGAGUUCCACGGUAACAACAGGAAAUAAUAGUUGGAGAAGUUGGAAAGCAAGAAGAAAGAAAUGUAGCUGGUGGAGGGAACUGAUGGGAAAUGUUCAUGUACAACAUCAAGCCACAAGGGCAGACUGGAAAACCUCGGCUGGUUUUUCGAAACAUUGAUGCACGCCAGGGUCAUUUCUGUGAGAGAAUAAGCACUAUUUUGCAUGAAGUAAGGGUCUUCAGGAGAGAAUUUUCCACCUCUGCCACAAACGCCAAGUUGGAGGGUUGGUGGCGAAGGAAUUGGCUGCUGCCAAGGCCAAAGGAAAGUGGGAGAAAAUGAGCACCGAAAUGGUGGUUAAUUAAUAUGGAUGGCAAUAGCAGUACGACGAUGAUGAUAGUAACGAUGAUGGUGGUGGCGCUGAUGGGAAGAAAGGCCCGGAUAAUGAAGGGAGGGAAUGACCAACAUCUCCAAUAACGAUAAUGAAGUCUCGGCUGUGUACACACAAACGGUUUCAGAUGCUGAAGUAUUGCUUAAUCAUCACCCUGGGGUUGAUGGCGCUCGCGAAGACGAAAAUACGUCUGGGUCCUGGAGUGCUUAUUGAGGAAGACCACUUAGUAUGGUUGUCAUCUGAUAAAGUAACAAUAAGUAUCGAGUUCGAGAGCCUGGGUUCAGCCAGAUUGGAACUCGAGGAAUCGCGUAGCAAAGUUGAAGUACUGGUAAACACGCUAAAUGAACUUGAGACUACAUGAAACCUGUCCGCAUCACUGGGACGUCUUUUAGCAGAAAUAAAAAUAGAUGCAAACGGUACAAGGCAAGAUCGUGGAAACACUCACUUGGUUCCCAGAGACAAAGCCAGUCAGGGGGACAGAAAAGGGCAGUACAGCUGUUGGUGGUCAGGGGUGUAGCUAUUGCAGCCAUAGCUGGAAUAGCAAUAACGAGUUUGGUGAAUGUUGGGAUAUUAGAGGCGGAGCUCGCCGAACAUGGUAAAGCUCUGAAUUCUCUAAGAGGGAGAAAUGAGAAAUUAGGAAAGGGAUUUAAUGAGUUGAGGAAAUCAAGUAAUAUAUAUUACAAGCGACUGUAAAAGGAGUCCGGGAAGACAUGUCACCAUUACGUUUUUCACUAUACACACUAAACUGUUGAACAUUGAAAGAGAAAUAGAAUCUUUGUUGAAUGAGAUUAAAAGCCAAGUGGAGCCAGUUGUAGCAGCUUCACGGGGGAAAAUUUCAAGGGAAAUAUUGCCGUUGGGAACUUUGGAGUCAAAUAUUAUUUUUACAGGAGAUUUACUUUAUAGAUACUAUGGGAUUUUAAAGGUACAAUUAUCAGGUAAGGGGUUAUUUGUUGACAUACCAGUCAGUGAUAAAAAACCGUUUCACAGCUAUAUAUUUAGGCCAUUUCCUAGUUCUUUCCAGGGGUCGGUAGUGGUUUGGACAGGGGUAGAGAUUAUGUAUAUAUUAGUUGAAGAUUUCCAGUCCUCGGCAGUUGACUAUGAACUAGGAUGUGUGUUAGUUUAUGAUAGAUAUGUGUGUGAAAGUAAGAUAUUCACUCUUCGACGUAUUGACCUGUCAGGGUGCGAACUAGAAUUAGCUCACGAGAAUUUACCGACUCACUGUGACUUUAGAGAAUUCCCUGAUCCAUAUCAAGUAAUAUCGACGGAGACAACGACAGCGGUCUUCUGCACCAGAUGCAAGAUUUCUACUACAUAUAUGCAAUGGGGACAACAAUUCGCUCGUCCUACAGGGAUCCCAGUUGUUUGAUGGUUCCUGCCGUGCUCUCUCGGAUUUCUUCAUGGUACUUCGUCGGCGUGCCUACAACUCAUCCAAGAAAGUGUUUCAUAAACACUUACAUGGAAACCAUGAGGCGGUUCGAAUUCCUCUUACAAUGAGACUGUUACAAUCCCGCUGCUGGAGGAUAGUAACGAAGAUGAGUUUUUCUUCAAUGAACGUUACACAGUUCCAAUAAUAGUGAUCAUGUUAGGUGUUAUACUGAUCACAAUUUGCGCACUAGGAGUUCUUAAACUUCUGUGCAUUUGGCGAGGCACAAGCGCUCCAGCAACGAAGGUAGCCCUAAAUCAUGUGGCAAGUUGAUACAUUGUGCAUUAGUUGCUGAUGUGGUGUGCGACAGGAGUGCACAAAGGACAUAGGUGGCUGAGCCAUCUUACAAGUGUGAAUUGAUGUGUUAGUGAAUUACAUAUCGUGUCUUGCUUGGAGACAGAGUGAGCUGUAGAGGCAGCCUUCUUGAAUGAAGGAAUCUGAUGCGUAUGCAUUUUUAAGCUGGAGGCUGUCCGUACUGUUGCCAGGGGCAGUUUGAAGUGUGGUGAUUAUGUACAUUCGUUUGUAUGGAUGUCACAGGCCUAACCGACCGAGGCACUUGGGGGAAAGACACAUUCCUUUUGUGAUAGGAAGGAGGACGGUUGAGGAAACGCCAGGUGUCGAGAGAAAACCCCAUCUUAAAGGUAUGGCACAUAUUUUAAAUUACUUAGAAACAGUUGCCUUUGAAAAGAGAGAAGUGUGAAAUGUAUCUCUUUACUUUAUAUUCCAUUUGAAAAGAGAGAAGUGUGAAGUGUAUCUCUUUACUUAAUAUUAUGUUAUGUAUCUUUAUUACAGAUGGGCUCUCCAAUCAUUAAGGCUUGAGAAGAUUGGCUGUCAAUGCAGCAUGAUCAUAAAGUUGUUAUGUUGCCAUAUUUGCAAAACUUUAUGGCGUAACUGUAAAAAAAAUAUAUUCCAUGAUAUUAGAGACGGGAUUCUCUAUCUUGACUAAUACUAUGUAACAAUUGGCAUUUUGGGUUUGGGAGUGAAUACUUAGCCAGGAGAGUGGAAUGAUAACAAAAUAGUUUUCUUUGUGGGGCAGAUUUGGAUUUUAUCACUAUGACUUAUUAAUCAAUUUACUCUAUUUUAUGUUCAUCUGCUUUGGGUAAUAAAUAGUUUAUUUUGUA